AGAAAACAUGGCGGAUUCUUGAAGUUUUGGAAAGAGAUCAAUAAAAUGGCUAUUAAGAUGGUGAGGAACAAUACAUGUAUAUGAUUAUAAUUGAACCUACUCUGCUCUCUCAAUCUUGUUGGUAACCAUAUUUGCUGUCUUAGAAGAAGAAUGAAGAUGAUGACUGACUGACUUGGUGAGUAAACUACAUACCUGAUAAUCAGUAAUAAACUGCUGCUUGGGAACAUGAUUAGACUUGUGCGGCAACAAUGCAAGUCCAUAUUGUUAUGAAGGUCACAGGGUCAUCAGGUUGAUAUUCAGGUCAACACCCAUACAGCAACAAGGUGAGUCCAUAUUGUUAUGAAGGUCACAGGGUCAUCAAGUUGAUAUUCAGGUCAACACCCAUACAGCAACAAGUCAAGAUGCAGUAUGGUAAUGAGGUUCAGAUGUCAGGUAUCGGCAGCCAUCUUGUUACAGAUCACUGGACCGUCUUAUGGAGAGUUUCACGUAUUGACACACGUCGAACCGCGAAGGAAGCAAGAUUCGAAUGGCACAAGUCACACCAAGAGACUGGAUACUAGCAUUUUACACAGGGAUCCCACAAAAAACGAUAUUUUUUAUCAAAAAUUCGGAUAUUUUCUAGCAAUAUUUUUAGCCCAAAAGGUAUAAAACCACUAGAAGAGGCUAUUUUAGCACUUAAUGGAGGAUAAAAAUCCGAAAAAACGCUUGUUUUAGGGCAAAAACACGAAUAUGUUAAUUUAGUCACGUGACCAGUCACGUGCCCAUCAAUUUUGUGUUUUUUUGGGUGUGAUUUUUUAAUUUUUUGUGACAAAAAUUUU